GGAGGGGUGACCGAGUUGGUCUAAGGAGCACGAUUGGAAAUCGUGUGUGCCUCAAAAGGGCACCGUGGGUUCGAAUCCCACCCUCUCCG
rnacentral:tRNA from 1 species